UACGAAGGGGGCUAGCGUUGUUCGGAAUUACUGGGCGUAAAGCGCGCGCAGGCGGUCUUCCAAGUCAGUGGUGAAAGCCCGGAGCUCAACUCCAGAACUGCCUUCGAUACUGGAAGACUUGAGUCCGGGAGAGGUGAGUGGAACUGCGAGUGUAGAGGUGAAAUUCGUAGAUAUUCGCAAGAACACCAGUGGCGAAGGCGGCUCACUGGCCCGGUACUGACGCUGAUGCACGAAAGCGUGGGGAGCAAACAGG
rnacentral:rRNA from 1 species